GCGGAAGUAGUAUAGUGGUUAGUAUAUUGCCUUGCCAAGGCAGUGACCUGGGUUCAAAUCCCAGCUUUCGCA
rnacentral:tRNA from 1 species